rnacentral:rRNA from 1 species
AGAGUUUGAUCCUGGCUCAGAGCGAACGCUGGCGGCAGGCCUAACACAUGCAAGUCGAACGAACUCUUCGGAGUUAGUGGCGGACGGGUGAGUAACACGUGGGAACGUGCCUUUAGGUUCGGAAUAACUCAGGGAAACUUGUGCUAAUACCGAAUGUGCCCUUCGGGGGAAAGAUUUAUCGCCUUUAGAGCGGCCCGCGUCUGAUUAGCUAGUUGGUGAGGUAAAGGCUCACCAAGGCGACGAUCAGUAGCUGGUCUGAGAGGAUGAUCAGCCACAUUGGGACUGAGACACGGCCCUUUCUCCUACGGGAGGCAGCAGUGGGGAAUCUUGCGCAAUGGGCGAAAGCCUGACGCAGCCAUGCCGCGUGAA